rnacentral:rRNA from 1 species
CCUACGGGAGGCAGCAGUGAGGAAUAUUUGUCAAUGGGCGCGAGCCUGAACCAGCCAAGUAGCGUGAAGGAUGACUGCCCUACGGGUUGUAAACUUCUUUUAUAAAGGAAUAAAGUGAGGCACGUGUGCCUUUUUGUAUGUACUUUAUGAAUACGGAUCGGCUAACUCCGUGCCAGCAGCCGAGGUAAUACGGAGGCUCCGAGCGUUAUCCGGAUUUAUUGGGUUUAAGGGGAGCGUAGAUGGGUUGUUAAGUCAGUUGUGAAAGGUUGCGGCUCAACCGUAAAAUUGCAAUUGAUACGGGCAGUGUAGAGUAAAGUUGAGGGAGGCGGAAUUCGUGGUGUAGCGGGGAAAUGCUGAGAUAUCACGAAGAACGCUGAUUGCGAAGGCAGCUUACUAGACUGCAACUGACAUUGAUGCACGAAAGUGUGGGGAUCAAACAGGAGUAGAGACCCGAGUAGUC